rnacentral:rRNA from 1 species
GACGAACGCUGGCGGCGUGCUUAACACAUGCAAGUCGAACGGAAAGGCCCUGCUUGCAGGGUACUCGAGUGGCGAACGGGUGAGUAACACGUGGGUGAUCUGCCCUGCACUUCGGGAUAAGCUUGGGAAACUGGGUCUAAUACCGGAUAGGAGCCAUCUUUAGUGUGGUGGUUGGAAAGUUUUUUCGGUGUAGGAUGAGCUCGCGGCCUAUCAGCUUGUUGGUGGGGUAAUGGCCUACCAAGGCGGCGACGGGUAGCCGGCCUGAGAGGGUGUACGGCCACAUUGGGACUGGGAUACGGCCCAGACUCCUACGGGAGGCAGGAGUGGGGAAUAUUGGACAAUGGGGGCAAGCCUGAUGGAGCGAAGCCGCGUGGGGGAUGAAGGCCUUCGGGUUGUAAACUCCUUUCGCUAGGGACGAAGCUUUGUUGUGACGGUACCUAGAUAAGAAGCACCGGCUAACUACGUG